GGAAGGCGUCGGGUGAGGCAGCGCGUGGCGCCCUCACAGCGCUCUGAGCGUCCUGGGUUUUCUUGGCAAGUGUCUCACCCAAAUCACGACUGAUUUUUGGACCCUGCUUCAUUCCUUCAUUUCACAAACUGCUGCCUAUGGUGACAAAACAGCAGGAAGUGGAAAAUUAUAUUGGAUAUCUGUGAAAAUGAAGAUAUAAUCUUACCACUCCUUCAUAUAAACAGGAGUCCAAGCUUUGGCACUAGCAGAACACACUAGAGAACAGUAAGUGCUGCUAUGGUUAGUGAUGAAAGGAAAAGCUUCUGAGAUCCAGGCUUCUUUGAACCAAGCAAGUCUGAGGAUUCACCAGGGACAGGAAACUGGGGGUUUUUCUUCUGCAUCACUUUUCCUCAAAAAUUAAUUUGCAACAGAAUAGCAAAUACUGAGCUAGACAGAGUCCAGUACUCCAACUUUUCCUUAACUGAGAAUCAAAUAAUUAAAGACAUUUUUCAAGCUCUUGUACCAAUUAACUAAUCCUCAGUGUUGCACCGAGGAGGAAGGUGAGUUGAAUAUAACUUGUCUUUAAAAUUUUUUUUUGAAGUGUAGAGAAGUUGAGCAGCUUAUUUAUAUUAAAAUAAUAAUAAUUAAAAAUACAGAAUUGGGAACAGGAACUCCUUUAGACAGUGGCUGUUUCUAGUUCCAAACAGAGAUGCAGAAGAAUAUAGGUAGGUUCCAGGCAUACAUAUUCAAAGCCAUGACUGAAAAAACUGCAGCUACCAGCACUCCUCAGGCACUGUGCUUUCUCACCUGAAGGUUCACCAGUGCAGUUAUGCGUGUGCUCACAACUGUCACUUCCUGAGUGCUUCAACACUUAGCUCCGACCCUCCCUGUGCUUGGCUCCAGCAGCACCUACGUCUCUUGGAACAGGAAAGGAUACAUUUGCUCUAGCAGAGCUACCACGUGCAAGCAGCACUACAAUCAGUACAAAACACAACCACAAUCAGCACCUCUAUGAGAAGAGGCUGCCAGCUGUUGGUGGGACAGCUGCCUUCCACACACAGCCCCAUGGGGGCUGAGCUUACUGCUUUGCAUAUUGCCUGUUUGCUUUCCUGACUUCAAAACACUCUGAGACGGUUUGACUUUGGCACUGUUGCUGUGAUUCGAAACUAGUUUUAAUUGUGAGAAAACAAACAUUGUGUAAAGAAUCUUGACCUCCUUUGGAAAAAUUCUGGCUAGGAAGCUUUAAUUGCAGGGAAUCUGUUGGUAGCACUAUUUUUACAUGUAUUGGAAACGUAUCAAAGCUAAUUUUUGAGAAGAGUAAAUUAUACUUUAGGAUGCACAAUUGUGAGAAAGUGACUCCCAAACGUCUUUGAGUUGGUCCUUUGUUUCUCGUUAGAAGCAUCUCCUAUCUUCCCUGAUGAGUCUGCUCCUGUUUUCAGGGCUGUUUUGCUUUAAGAUGCUUUUGAUCCUGUAUUCAUUAAAACCUGAUCCUGCUGCUUCCCAC
ensembl:lncRNA